UUGGGAGGACCACCUCAGAGGUAAAUGAUUGAAGUUUUGCAAAAGGAGCCUCUGUCCUGGCAACGGUGUAGACUCACUUGGCUGCCAAAUGCUGAGUCUGCCAUCGCUUGGAAUUCUGAGGAUGACUACAUAUGGAACAAAAUUGUAUAGCUGCUGUUACGUAAUAGUCCUUCUGCAAAAUUCAUCCUAGAGCUUAGGAAGAAUGAACGCUUGAUCCACAUCAUGCUGAUAUUAGCUGAAUUAUUUCUCACUUGAGUUCUGGUUUAACUUGUAGAAAUAGCAUGGUUUGUAAUGAAUCCAAACAAGAACUUUUGAAAGAUCCAGCUUGCUAACUGCGCUAAACAGCUUUCAAUCAAUUCCUGACUAGUUCUUAUAAAUGUUAUUUAUGUUAAGUGUCAUAGAUGUACAGCAUACAUAUGAAGGAAAAUAUUUAAUCCAUCCUUAAUAAACUCUUCUGAGCUGUGUUCUGGCUCUCUGAGAAACUUGUCAAGUUACAGUUUUCCUCAGCCCAGCAGAGGAGUAAAGCCCAACAAAAGAUGUUUAACACUGGUAGAUCACUCAGAYAGGUUUAAAAUGUUACAGUGCCAAUCAUUAAUCAGCCAGUUCAAGCAUGACAUAUUAUUCUCUUCAAUGUUAAAUGUUGCUAGGAAGUUAACCAAGACUUAUUAAAUUAUUUAUUUUCACUUAGUCAGUUUAGGUCUUGCAGGUGUUGUUUCAAAAUCCCUUGGGUGUGAGAGGAAUUUAAACCUAAUUGUGGCUUCUUUUGUUUGUUUAUAGAGCUCACACUUUUCACUUCUGUGUCUUUACAUUACCUGUGUAAGAAAUCACUCUUCUGUGAAAUUAAAAUUGUAAAAAUAACCAAGUUUAAAACAAAUAGCAAAAUUAUU